rnacentral:rRNA from 1 species
UGGUAAUGCCGGAUGCUCCAGUUGAUCGCAUGGUCUUCUGGGAAAGCUUUCGCGGUAUGGGAUGGGGUCGCGUCCUAUCAGCUUGACGGCGGGGUAACGGCCCACCGUGGCUUCGACGGGUAGCCGGCCUGAGAGGGCGACCGGCCACAUUGGGACUGAGAUACGGCCCAGACUCCUACGGGAGGCAGCAGUGGGGAAUAUUGCACAAUGGGCGCAAGCCUGAUGCAGCGACGCCGCGUGAGGGAUGGAGGCCUUCGGGUUGUAAACCUCUUUUAUCGGGGAGCAAGCGAGAGUGAGUUUACCCGUUGAAUAAGCACCGGCUAACUACGUGCCAGCAGCCGCGGUAAUACGUAGGGUGCAAGCGUUAUCCGGAAUUAUUGGGCGUAAAGGGCUCGUAGGCGGUUCGUCGCGUCCGGUGUGAAAGUCCAUCGCUUAACGGUGGAUCCGCGCCGGGUACGGGCGGGCUUGAGUGCGGUAGGGGAGACUGGAAUUCCCGGUGUAACGGUGGAAUGUGUAGAUAUCGGGAAGAACACC